GCAAGUGAUGAUUUUACUUAUUCUUCACUUUGACCUGACCAAUAGUGAUGAUAAUCUUAAGCCUGAGC
ensembl:snoRNA